AUUGAACGCUGGCGGCAGGCUUAACACAUGCAAGUCGAGCGAGCGGCGGACGGGUGAGUAAUGUCUGGGAACCUGCCUGAUGGAGGGGUAUAACUACUGGAAACGGUAGCUAAUACCGCAUACAAUCAGAUGUGCCCAGAUGGGGUGGGUUAGUAGGAGGGGUAAUGGCUAACCUAGGCGACGAUCCCUAGCUGGUCUGAGAGGAUGACCAGCCAAACUGGAACGGGGCAACGUUCCAGCAUCCUACGGGAGGCAGCAGUGGGGAAUAGUGCACAAUGGGCGCAAGCGUGAUGCAGCCAUGCCGCGUGAGUGAAGAAGGCCUUCGGGUUGUAAAGCACUUUCAGCGAGGAGGCGUUACUCGCAGAAGAAGCACCGGCUAACUCCGUGCCAGCAGCCGCGGUAAUAC
rnacentral:rRNA from 1 species